GGAGCAAGACUGUCUGGAACACUUCUGUUGCUGCUGCUGCUGAGCUGUGACCGAGAGAGGAGAAGAAGAGAGACUGCACCUGGAGCCUGGAGGACAUCUGCCUGGAGGAUCAACUGUGCUGGACAUCCUGAGAGGACACCUGGUUGUUUAUCGUUGGUGGACCUCUUCUGGACUGGACUGCACUUGGUGGACAUCGGCCUGCAGAUCUCUGCGUGGAGGAUCAACAUUGCUGGACAUCUGCACUGGUGGACUGCAUCGUGGAGGAGAGGAGGACCAGCUGCAAGACUGCCUGAACAUCGCUGGACUGCAGGACUGGUGUUACUGUGAGCGAGUCCGGGUUCACAUUUGGGUGGCCUUGGGGGUGGGUUCUUGCUAGCUUGGGAGGGGGGAGGCUCAUCUUCAAAACACCACAUC